rnacentral:rRNA from 1 species
UACGGAGGAUGCAAGCGUUAAUCGGAAUUACUGGGCGUAAAGCGUCCGCAGGCGGUUAAUUAAGUCUGAUGUGAAAGCACAGAGCUUAACUUUGUAAAUGCAGCUGAAACUGAUUGACUAGAGUACUGUAGGGGGAGCGAGAAUUCCCAGUGUAGCGGUGAAAUGCGUAGAGAUGUGGAGGAAUACCAGCGGCGAAGGCGCCCGCCUGGGCCAAAACUGACGCUCAGGUACGAAAGCUAGGGGAGCAAAGAGG